UACGUAGGGUGCAAGCGUUGUUCGGAAUCAUUGGGCGUAAAGCGCGUGUAGGCGGUUUUUUAAGUCGAGUGUGAAAUCCCUGAGCUCAACUCAGGAAGUGCAUUCGAAACUAACUAACUAGAAGAUGGCAGAGGAAGGUGGAAUUCCAAGUGUAGAGGUGAAAUUCGUAGAUAUUUGGAGGAAUACCGGUGGCGAAGGCGGCCUUCUGGACCAUUCUUGACGCUGAGACGCGAAAGCGUGGGGAGCAAACAGG
rnacentral:rRNA from 1 species